UACGUAGGGUGCGAGCGUUGUCCGGAAUUACUGGGCGUAAAGAGCUCGUAGGUGGUUUGUCGCGUUGUUCGUGAAAUCUCACGGCUUAACUGUGAGCGUGCGGGCGAUACGGGCAGACUGGAGUACUGCAGGGGAGACUGGAAUUCCUGGUGUAGCGGUGGAAUGCGCAGAUAUCAGGAGGAACACCGGUGGCGAAGGCGGGCGUCUGGGCCGAUGACUGACGCUGAG
rnacentral:rRNA from 1 species